UGGGCGUAAAGAGCUCGUAGGCGGUUUGUCGCGUCUGCCGUGAAAGUCCGGGGCUCAACUCCGGAUCUGCGGUGGGUACGGGCAGACUAGAGUGAUGUAGGGGAGACUGGAAUUCCUGGUGUAGCGGUGAAAUGCGCAGAUAUCAGGAGGAACACCGAUGGCGAAGGCAGGUCUCUGGGCAUUAACUGACGCUGAGGAGCGAAAGCAUGGGGAGCGAACAGGAUUAGAUACCCUGGUAGUCCAUGCCGUAAACGUUGGGCACUAGGUGUGGGGGACAUUCCACGUUUUCCGCGCCGUAGCUAACGCAUUAAGUGCCCCGCCUGGGGAGUACGGCCGCAAGGCUAAAACUCAAAGGAAUUGACGGGGGCCCGCACAAGCGGCGGAGCAUGCGGAUUAAUUCGACGCAACGCGAAGAACCUUACCAGGGCUUGACAUGAACCGGAAACACCUGGAAACAGGUGCCCCGCUUGCGGUCGGUUUACAGGUGGUGCAUGGUUGUCGUCAGCUCGUGUCGUGAGAUGUUGGGUUAAGUCCCGCAACGAGCGCAACCCUCGUUCUAUGUUGCCAGCGCGUUAUGGCGGGGACUCAUAGGAGACUGCCGGGGUCAACUCGGAGGAAGGUGGGGACGACGUCAAAUCAUCAUGCCCCUUAUGUCUUGGGCUUCACGCAUGCUACAAUGGCCGGUACAAAGGGUUGCGAUACUGUGAGGUGGAGCUAAUCCCAAAAAGCCGGUCUCAGUUCGGAUUGGGGUCUGCAACUCGACCCCAUGAAGUCGGAGUCGCU
rnacentral:rRNA from 1 species